AUGAACGCUGGCGGCGUGCUUAACACCUGCCAGUCGCACGAUGAAGCUCAGCUUGCUGGGUGGAUUAGUGGCGAACGGGUGAGUAACACGUGAGUAACCUGCCCUUAACUCUGGGAUAAGCCUGGGAAACUAGGUCUAAUACCGGAUAGGAGCGCCUACCGCAUGGUGGGUGUUGGAAAGAUUUAUCGGUUUUGGAUGGACUCGCGGCCUAUCAGCUUGUUGGUGAGGUAAUGGCUCACCAAGGCGACGACGGGUAGCCGGCCUGAGAGGGUGACCGGCCACACUGGGACUGAGACACGGCCCAGACUCCUACGGGAGGCAGCAGUGGGGAAUAUUGCACAAUGGGCGAAAGCCUGAUGCAGCGACGCCGCGUGAGGGAUGACGGCCUUCGGGUUGUAAACCUCUUUCAGUAGGGAAGAAGCGAAAGUGACGGUACCUGCAGAAGAAGCACCGGCUAACUACGUG
rnacentral:rRNA from 1 species